UGGGGGAAUAUUGGGGCAAUGGGAGGCAACUCUGACCCAGCAACGCCGCGUGAAUGAUGAAGGUCUUCGGAUUGUAAAGUUCUGUGAUGGGGGACGAAGAAAGUGACGGUACCCCAAUAGCAAGCUACGGCUAACUACGUGCCAGCAGCCGCGGUAAUACGUAGGUAGCAAGCGUUGUCCGGAAUGACUGGGGCGUAAAGGGUGCGUAGGUGGUUUAACAAGUUGGUAGUGAAAUUCCGAGGCUUAACUUCGGCGCUACUGCCAAGACUGUUGAACUUGAGUACAGGAGAGGUAAAGUGGAAUUCCUAGU
rnacentral:rRNA from 1 species